rnacentral:rRNA from 1 species
AGAUUGAACGCUGGCGGUAUGCUUAACACAUGCAAGUCGAACGGUAGCAGGCCUUCGGGCGCUGACGAGUGGCGGACGGGUGAGUAACGCGUAGGAAUCUGCCUCGUAGUGGGGGACAACGUGGGGAAACCCACGCUAAUACCGCAUACGUCCCGCACCUAUCUUUUGAUGCCUUGGUUGGCUUCCGGCGAUGUCUCGCGAUGAGGCAGGCGUGGGAGCGGGGCUAGGGUGCAAAAGAUAGGUGCGGGAGAAAGCGGGGGACCUUUUAGGCCUCGCGCUAUGAGAUGAGCCUGCGUGGGAUUAGCUAGUUGGUAGGGUAAAGGCCUACCAAGGCUGCGAUCCCUAGCUGGUCUGAGAGGACGACCAGCCACACUGGGACUGAGACACGGCCCAGACUCCUACGGGAGGCAGCAGUGGGGAAUAUUGGACAAUGGGCGCAAGCCUGAUCCAGCAAUACCGCGUGUGUGAAGAAGGCCCGAGGGUUGUAAAGCACUUUCAACGGGGAAGAAAAAGCUAAGGCCAAUACCCUUAGCCUUGACAUUACCCGUACAAGAAGCACCGGCUAACUCCGUGCCAGCAGCCGCGGUAAUACGGAGGGUGCGAGCGUUAAUCGGAAUUACUGGGCGUAAAGCGUGCGUAGGCGGUGGGUUAAGUUAGAUGUGAAAGCCCCGGGCUCAACCUGGGAACGGCAUUUAAAACUGGCCGGCUAGAGUUAGGUAGAGGGGAGCGGAAUUCCGGGUGUAGCGGUGAAAUGCGUAGAUAUCCGGAGGAACACCAGUGGCGAAGGCGGCUCCCUGGACCCAAACUGACGCUGAGGUACGAAAGCGUGGGUAGCAAACAGGAUUAGAUACCCUGGUAGUCCACGCCGUAAACGAUGUCGACUAGCCGUUGGGCCCUUAUGGGGUUUAGUGGCGCAGCUAACGCCUUAAGUCGACC